rnacentral:rRNA from 1 species
UACGUAGGGUGCGAGCGUUAAUCGGAAUUACUGGGCGUAAAGCGUGCGCAGGCGGUUCUCCAAGUCCGUUGUGAAAGCCCCGGGCUCAACCUGGGAAUGGCAGUGGAAACUAGGGGACUUGAGUCUGGCAGAGGGGGGUGGAAUUCCACGUGUAGCGGUGAAAUGCGCAGAUAUCAGGAGGAACACCGAUGGCGAAGGCAGCUCGCUGGGACGGUACUGACGCUGAGGCGCGAAAGCGUGGGGAGCAAACAGG